rnacentral:rRNA from 1 species
UACGUAGGGUGCAAGCGUUGUCCGGAAUUAUUGGGCGUAAAGAGCUCGUAGGCGGUCUGUCGCGUCUGCUGUGAAAACCUAGGGCUUAACCCUGGGCCUGCAGUGGGUACGGGCAGACUAGAGUGCGGUAGGGGAGACUGGAAUUCCUGGUGUAGCGGUGAAAUGCGCAGAUAUCAGGAGGAACACCGGUGGCGAAGGCGGGUCUCUGGGCCGUAACUGACGCUGAGGCACGAAAGCGUGGGGAGCAAACAGG